ACACGGUGGAUGCCCUGGCAGUCAGAGGCGAUGAAGGGCGUGCUAAUCUGCGAUAAGCGCCGGUAAGGUGAUAUGAACCGUUAUAACCGGCGAUACCCGAAUGGGGAAACCCAGUGUGACUCGUCACACUAUCAUUAACUGAAUCCAUAGGUUAAUGAGGCGAACCGGGGGAACUGAAACAUCUAAGUACCCCGAGGAAAAGAAAUCAACCGAGAUUCCCCCAGUAGCGGCGAGCGAACGGGGAGGAGCCCAGAGCCUGAAUCAGCAUGUGUGUUAGUGGAAGCGUCUGGAAAGGCGCGCGAUACAGGGUGACAGCCCCGUACACAAAAGCGCAUGUGCUGUGAGCUCGAUGAGUAGGGCGGGACACGUGGUAUCCUGUCUGAAUAUGGGGGGACCAUCCUCCAAGGCUAAAUACUCCUGACUGACCGAUAGUGAACCAGUACCGUGAGGGAAAGGCGAAAAGAACCCCGGCGAGGGGAGUGAAAAAGAACCUGAAACCGUGUACGUACAAGCAGUGGGAGCACCCUUUGGGUGUGACUGCGUACCUUUUGUAU
rnacentral:rRNA from 1 species